rnacentral:ncRNA from 1 species
GGAACUCUGGAGAAGCCCGUUUUCACCGGGUGCCGAAGGUGCAAGGCCCAAAGCCGAAUCUCUCAGGCAAAAGGACAGAGAAG